rnacentral:rRNA from 1 species
UACGGAGGGUGCAAGCGUUAUCCGGAUUCACUGGGUUUAAAGGGUGCGUAGGAGGGCAGGUAAGUCAGUGGUGAAAUCCCCGAGCUUAACUUGGGAACUGCCGUUGAUACUAUCUGUCUUGAAUAUUGUGGAGGUAAGCGGAAUAUGUCAUGUAGCGGUGAAAUGCUUAGAUAUGACAUAGAACACCAAUUGCGAAGGCAGCUUACUACACAACUAUUGACUCUGAUGCACGAAAGCGUGGGGGUCAAACAGG